rnacentral:rRNA from 1 species
UACGUAGGGGGCAAGCGUUGUCCGGAAUCAUUGGGCGUAAAGAGCGCGUAGGCGGCCCUGUAAGUCCGCUGUGAAAGUCAAGGGCUCAACCCUUGAAUGCCGGUGGAUACUGCAGGGCUAGAGUCCGGAAGAGGCGAGUGGAAUUCCUGGUGUAGCGGCGAAAUGCGCAGAUAUCAGGAGGAACACCGAUGGCGAAGGCAGCUCGCUGGGACGGUACUGACGCUGAUGCGCGAAAGCCAGGGGAGCGAACGGG